rnacentral:rRNA from 1 species
GACGAACGCUGGCGGCGGGCCUAACACAUGCAAGUCGAACGGAAAGGCCCGGCUUUUGUGGGGUGCUCGAGUGGCGAACGGGUGAGUAACACGUGAGUAACCUGCCCUUGACUGUGGGAUAACUUCAGGAAACUGGGGCUAAUACCGGAUAGGAGCUCCCGCCGCAUGGGGGGGGUGGGAAAGUUUCGGCGGUUGGGGGUGGACUCGCGGCUUAUCUGCUUGGUGGUGGGGUUGUGGCUUAGCGAGGCUUUGACGGGUAGCCGGCCUGGGAGGGUGACCGGCCACAUUGGGACUGGGAUGCGGCCCCGACUCCUACGGCAGGCAGCGGUGGCAGAUGUUGCACAAUGGGCGGAAGCCUGAUGCAGCAGCGCCGCGUCCGGGAUAACGGCCUUCGGGUUGUAAUCCUCUUUCGCCUGUGCCGGAGCGUGUGUGGCGGUAAUGGGUAGAGAAGCACCGGCUAACUACGUG